rnacentral:ncRNA from 1 species
GGAGUCCAUGUAUUUAGACAGCAGGUCGGUGCCCCUAAAAGCAGGUAUCCGCUAAAGAGUGUGUUAAAACUCACCUGCCGAAUACUAGGGCCCCGAAAAUGAAUGGCGCAUAUAGUACUACCGAUCUCAGACAUCAGUUCUAUUGAACUGAGAGUAGGGGGAUGUGGACAUUUUUGUGAAGGUGCAAUGUGAGUUGGACUGGAAGAAUGUCUAUUACAGAUCCUAAUUGAAGUAGCGAUUAUCCAGGCUUGUAUCCUGGGGGCUGAUGAGGAGUAGGGUUUCUGGACAACUUAAACAGAUCCAGAGUUAGUCGAUCCUAAUCUCAAUAAUGGGAGAAAGGGAGUACAGUUGAUAUUCUGUAACUGACAACAGUUCGCGGCAACGCAUACUAUUUUUCUCCGCCAAUCUUAUACCGUUGGUAGGGAUCUCUUUCCUACAUGACAGUACUAAUACCCAGGGAAACUGGUCAUCAGGCGAACUGCGGCGUUCUGCUGGCAAAACAUAGCUUCGGUUAUGUCAAUGGCUAUUGGAUUGGUCCAUGAAGCGAAAAAUAGUUUACUGUGUCACUCGUACCGAUAACCGCAUCAGGUCUUCUAGGUAAGUAGCCUAUGGCCAUUGAGGCAUGAUAGUUCAGGGAAUUCGGCCAAUUAGAGCUGUAACUUCGGGAUAAAGCUUGGCUCUGAUGAAAAUCAGAACCGAUUGUUACGCGGAGAGCCCAACUGUUUAAUAAAAACGUAGUGUCGCGCUGUGGUAGUAUAGCCAGUGAACGCGACAUGAAUCCUGCUCAGUGCUGUGUCUGUUAAUAUGGUUCAAGCCAACGAAGCACCGGUAAAUAGCUGGGGUAACUAUGACUCUUAUCAAAGUAGCGAAAUACCUCGUCACUUAAUUAGUGACCUGCAUGAACGGAGCUAUGAGGUUCUCACUGUCCCAAACUGUCUCUCAGCGAACCAACUGUAGUGGGAACGGUCACUAGAUAUCCAGCGGGGAAAGAAGACCCUGUAGAGCUUCACUUUGGUCUAGUCUUGUAUAGUUCCUGCGGGGGUGUAGACUAGGUGGGAGAGCAAUCGAUUCUGAAAAACCACUACCCCUGUUUUGGA